rnacentral:rRNA from 1 species
UACGUAGGGACCAAGCGUUGUUCGGAUUUACUGGGCGUAAAGGGCGCGUAGGCGGCUUAACAAGUCACUUGUGAAAUCUCCGGGCUUAACUCGGAACGGCCAAGUGAAACUGUCAAGCUAGAGUGCAGAAGGGGCAAUCGGAAUUCUUGGUGUAGCGGUGAAAUGCGUAGAUAUCGAGAGGAACACCUGCGGCGAAGGCGGGUUGCUGGGCUGACACUGACGCUGACAGCGCGAAAGCUAGGGGAGCGAACGGG